ensembl:lncRNA
AAGCACCAUGGAUGACGAAUUUCAAGGUACCAGCUCUCAGAUGGUGAUCUUUUCUAAAAACGAUAGGACAGGUGUGGAGGAGAAUGAAGCAAGAGAAUGGGUUCCUAAGUCUGUGAGCUUAUCUGAAGAUGAUGGGACAGAUGACUGGAUACCCACACAGGAUGAAUCUGAAGGCUAUUCAGAAGAGGAGGAAGAACAAGAACAUAAAAGGAUUCCUAAGAUGCUGGCAGCAUCUGAAGAGGAUGGGACACAUGAUAGUAGACCCACACAGGAUGAAUCUAAAGAUGAUUCAAAAGAUGAAGCAGAACAUUUGGGACAAAUGAUUCACAAAGUGGCCAUGGAAAAGGUAAAAAUUGUCCUCUGUUUCAAUGCAUGCAACAAAAUAUGUCUUUGUAUUCUUUUACGUCAGAUGGUCAGCUCAUAUGUAUGGAACGCCAGGACUGCUAUAAUGAAUUAAUUAAAUACACCAUUAAAUAAUUAAUUAAAUGUGGCAAUAAUUAAUUAUUGCUGUGGGGUUUUUUUCUUUCUUUCUCUCACCCUCUCUCUCGCACUUUUUUUUCCGCUUCACUCCGCACGUGAGCCCUGUGCUUUGCGCUGGGAAGAGGGGGGAGGGGCGGUAGUUACACUCGCAGUAGCACAGGAACAGAGCGGGAGGGAGAGAGAGAGAAAGAGAGCCAGGGAC